GACGUAGGGGGCCAGCGUUGUUCGGAAUUACUGGGUGUAAAGGGUUCGUAGGCGGUGCGGCAAGUUGGGAGUGAAAUCUCUGGGCUUAACCCAGAGGCUGCUUCCAAAACUGCUGUGCUUGAGUGUGGGAGAGGCGCGUGGAAUUGCAGGUGUAGCGGUGAAAUGCGUAGAUAUCUGCAGGAACACCCGUGGCGAAGGCGGCAUCCUGGACCGGCAUUGACGCUGAUCAGCGAAAGCCAGGGGAGCAAACGGG
rnacentral:rRNA from 1 species